CUGUGGAAGGCAGGGCAGUCUGAGCCACUUGGUCCAUGGUGCUGACCAGGCAGCAGAGAAGCGAAAUGCCAGAGCUUAGCAGGCUCUUUCCUUUUCCCCAGCCUGGGAGACAGCCCCGAGAAGGAUGGACAGAAAAAUAAGACACAAGAAGGGGAAGUCUUUUAUUCCAGAGUUUGGCUAUAAGUCACACGUCAACACAACUGAUAAAAAUGACAAUUCCCUACAGGGAUCGCCUAUCUAAGGAUGUCACAGGUAUGUACUGCACUGAAUACCCACAAAACAAUGACCUGUGCUAACAAGGUGAACACUGAGUCUAGGGAGCUGGUAAUGCGGACUGCGAAGGACACCAUCUACCAUCUGCUGCGACAGUCCUACGUGGAGAGUGCACCCUUACCUGUGCCUUGGCUACUACAGGCUGUGAGCACACAGGCUUAGGACUAACCAGAACUUCCAGUUCAAGCCAGGCCUGGUAGUAAAGGCUCACAGUCCCAGCCAUCUGGGAGGCGGAGGCAGAAAGCUCCCAAACUCAAGUUCCUUCUAAGCUUACGGGGUGAAGGCUAGCCCAGGCAACACAGCAAGAUCUUCCAAAACAAAAGAAGAAGGUUGGGGGACAUGACUCUGGUAAGGUGUUUGCCUAGCACUAAACUGAAGGCCCUGGACUCGAUCCCCAUCCACACCCUCCCAAAUAAUAAUAAUCCAGGUUCAUUUUAUUUA